rnacentral:tRNA from 1 species
GCCGUCGUAGCUCAGUUGGAAGAGCGCCCGCCUUGUAAGCGGAUUGUCCGGGGUUCGAUUCCUCGCUGCGGCA